rnacentral:lncRNA from 1 species
UAACAUUUGACAUUCGUUAUUUUAUUUUAUUUUUGCACAGAUCAAAAUGCUUAAGUUUUUCCCCUAAAAUUUUACAAGUGCCAAUUUGACCGUGACAAUGAACCCAUCUAUUUUCUUCAAAAAAUAUUAACAUUUGCAAAAAAAAAAAAUUGAUGCGCAGGAGCAUAUGUUCCCAAGAGUAACCCACUUUGUUACGAGUCCAUUCCGACCGUACUCGCACGGAUUGCAAAAGCGCCAAUCUUCUUUUUGCCGUUUUUGCGCGGCACCAGAUGACCACAUGCAGAGCAUGCAGAGAGAAUGCAACGGAAGAAAUAGCGCGUUCAUAACUGAGGCGCAGACCUAGAUCUGAUCAACCACAGCGGGAAAUUUCCAUCAAUCCUCAAUUACACAACCUCUUCAGCACAGGAGAUGGAACUUCUAGCCAGGCCAACAAAUAUAUCGUCAUCUACUCUAACAGGCAGCUAGUGCAAAGACUCAAUGCCUAAAUCACCAAAGUUGUACGAAUCUGAACAUCUAAUCUAGAGAGAUCGCCAGUAGCCAGCAAAAGAUUGCAAUAUGGAGCUAAGCUAUGCCACGGAAGGCUUUCCGCGUUGGUGCUGUACAGAGAUGAUGACCGGAUCACUGCCUAACUGGAACCGCGGCAACCUGGUUAGUGCCUGCGAAAAAAAUCAAGGCAAAAAACCCAGCAGUUACAUCUCUGAAUCAGAAAGUGCACAGUUUGAUAUUUUUCCAGUGCAAAAAUAGAACAGGCUGUACAUGCUACCUUGAAUUUCAUGCAAAAACACCACACACACUUCAUUGGUAGUAUUAUUAUUCUACUAGAGCGCAAAAUUAACGACUUUCGUGCUGAGUGAAACUUGGUGGUAUCGACACGCGGACAGACAGAAAAGGGGAAACACAAGGAAGCUAACUUCAGAUGCACUCAUCCCAUUAGACAAGGAUAAAACAGAUGGUAAAUUGAUAAAGAAUAGAGCAUUAGAUCAAUCACAUAACCUCAGCAUUUUUCGUUUUCAGCACAAUUUACGCUCAUCAGUGACACCAGCCCAACACAGGAAUCUAAAUCAUCAAUGGAGCUAUUUAUCAUUACUGAAAACACCAAUUGGACAAUUAGAAAGCGGCAAGUUUAGACUUGUCAAAUGCUAUUUGUCGAAAUAGUAUGAUUCACCAUGAGACUAAGCCCUAAAUUCCACUGCUUCCAGAAGCGUCACAAUUCAAUGUAAAGAUGCCAGUAGAAUAUAAGUGGAUGCACAGUACAUUGCAAAUAGGCCAGAUAAAUCGAAAAGGUUUAUUAUGGAGUACCUCAAAUUGUGUUCGUUUUCUUGCCAGCAAGAAUGCGGGAUAUUUGGAGGCCUCUGCUGAAACCUUCAUUGAACAGUACCCUUG